GACGAACGCUGGCGGCGUGCUUAACACAUGCAAGUCGAACGGACAGGCCCUGCUUUUGUUGGUUGCUCGAGUGGCGAAGGGGUGAGUAACACGCGAGUAAACUGCCCUUGACUUUGGGAUAACUUCAGGAAACUGGGGCUCAUAUCCGGUAGGAGCUCCUGCUGCAUGGUGGGGGUUGGUAAGAUUCGGCGGUUGGGGAUGGACUCGCGGCAUAUCCGCUUGUUUGGGGGGUUGUGGCUUACCAAGGCUUUGACGGGUAGCCGGCCUGAGCGGGUGACCGGCGACAUUGGGACUGAGAUACGGCCCAGACGCCUACGGGAGGCAGCAGUGGGGAAUAUUGCACAGUGGGCGGAAGCCAGAGGCAGCAACGCCGCGUGCGGAAUGACGGCCUUCGGGUUAUAAACCGCUUUCGCCUGUGACGAAGCGGGAGUGACGGUAAUGGGUAAAGAAGCACCGGCUAACUACGUG
rnacentral:rRNA from 1 species